UACGUAGGUGGCAAGCGUUGUCCGGAAUUAUUGGGCGUAAAGCGCGCGCAGGCGGUCCUUUAAGUCUGAUGUGAAAGCCCACGGCUCAACCGUGGAGGGUCAUUGGAAACUGGAGGACUUGAGUGCAGAAGAGGAUAGUGGAACUCCAUGUGUAGCGGUGAAAUGCGUAGAUAUAUGGAAGAACACCAGUGGCGAAGGCGACUUUCUGGUCUGUAACUGACACUGAGGCGCGAAAGCGUGGGGAGCAAACAGG
rnacentral:rRNA from 1 species